UCUGUAUGAUUAUAUAUAAAGUCUAGCCUGCCCACUGAUUUUUAAAGGGCCGCGGUAAUUUGACCGUGCGAAGGUAGCAUAAUCAUUAGUCUUUUAAUUGAAGGCUGGAAUGAAUGGUUGGAUGAGGGAUAUACUGUCUUUAAUUUAAAAAAUAAAUUUAACUUUUAAGUGAAAAGGCUUAAAUAUUUUAGUGGGACGAUAAGACCCUAUAAAACUUUAUUUGGUGUGGGGUUAGCGAUGAUCUUGUUUUAAAAUUGUUAUUUUUGCAUUAAAUUUUGUUGGGGAGACAUUAAUAUAAUAGGUAACUGUUGUUGAAAUUAAAUAAUUAUAAUUAGGUUUUGAUCCUUUAUUAGAGAUUAAAAGAUUAAGUUACUUUAGGGAUAACAGCGUAAUUUCCUUUGAGAGUUCUUAUCGACAAGGUUAGUUGCGACCUCGAUGUUGAAUUAAAAUUUCUGGGGGGUGUAGUCUUUCUCCUAGUAGGUCUGUUCGACCUUUAAAAUU
rnacentral:rRNA from 1 species